rnacentral:rRNA from 1 species
UACGGGGGGGGCAAGCGUUGUUCGGAAUUACUGGGCGUAAAGGGCUCGUAGGCGGCCAACUAAGUCGGAUGUGAAAGCCCUCGGCUUAACUGAGGAAGUGCAUCCGAAACUGGCAGGCUAGAGUACUAAAGAGGGUCGCGGAAUUCCCGGUGUAGAGGUGAAAUUCGUAGAUAUCGGGAGGAACACCGGUGGCGAAGGCGGCGACCUGGGUAGAUACUGACGCUGAGGAGCGAAAGCGUGGGGAGCGAACAGG